CUGAAACAACAUGUGUGAGCGGGAAAAAGCGAUAACCUGAGCGGCCAGAAGCACAGUGGAUGUGUGUUGCUGGUGGGCCCGCUGGUCAUGGACAGCCUCGCUCACAGCUCACAGUUGGGGGCCUUGGUGAAGGAUCCUGUGAUGACUGGACUGCUGGGGCUCUUUCUCCACGUGGUCUCUCUCACCCUCACAGAUGGGCUUGUUCACACGGCAGCAGUGUUCAAGAGGGUGACAGUGGAAGCUUCAGGGCUUCUGGAAGCCAAGGCUUGGAAGGCAUAGGAUGUCACUCCUGCCACAUCUUAUUGGUCAAAGCAUGUCACAAAAUCAGCCCAUAUUCAAGGCAGUGGGGAAAUAGAUUCCACUUUUUGAUGGGAGUUGCGGUAAAGAAUUUGUGGCCGUAUUUAACUUGUCGUAGGGCGCUUCAAAUGGGGAGAACAGGUUCUGGAAGGGAAUAGAGAGAAGAAAAUGUAAACUGUGCAGCAGGAAUUUUGAGUUCAGCCUGAUCACAAUAGAGGAGGCCUGUUGGUGAGCAGCUCGAAAUGACACAAGGCAGGCAGCGUGAGAGGCCCAAAGGCUGUAAGCUUAGGACCAGGACUUUAAUGUGAGGGUUGGCAAAGCUGAGUGCACGUGCCCCAUCCACUGCCUCAAACGAUUCCUUUUAAUUCAUCUUCAUUAUUGUUUUCACUUUUUAAAGAAUUUUCACUUUGAGAUCUUAGAAGUCUGAAUUGUUAAAGUGUCAUCUCCACAGAUGGACUUUACCAAAGCCUUAUGGACUUUCAGAAGACAAGAGAGCACAGAGACCAUAUAGGACAGUGGCUAAGCAUCUAAGCUCCAGAGCCAGACAGACCUUCGUUCAAAUCCUGUCUUCGUCACCUGGAAGCCAUGUGACAUUUGAUUAGUCACUUAACCAUUUUGAGCCUCAGUUUCCUCCAGUAUCAUCUGGAGUUAAAUGGUACCUUCCUCACAGGAUGGCCGUGAGGAUUAGACACUGCACUUAUGGAUUUACCUUAGAGUCUUAAGCAUUAAAUCUAUAAGUGCUCAAUUAACGUCAGCUGUAAUUAUAGCCUUUGGAUUUUCAUUCUUCAUCUGUAAAAUGAGGUACUACUGUAGAAAUUCUAGGGUCUUAUUCUUAAAAUAGCUAAUAAAAUUGGGCAUCAAGAAAGUUGCAAAUAGAAAGGGCUGUGCCUAUUCCCAAGGAUACUAUUCUUUCUUGUGAUCUGCAUCCAAAGCCCUGUUUCAAAUCUAAUUGCUUCUCUUCCCUGAAAGAAAACAGACCUCAUGGCAAGCAUAUCUUUUUUUUUUUAAGAUUUUAUUUUUUUCCUUUUUCUCCCCAAAGCCCCCUAGUACAUAGUUGCAUAUUCUUAGUUGUGAGUCCUUCCAGUUGUGGCAUGUGGGAUGCCGCCUCAGCGUGGCCUGAUGAGCGGUACCAUGUCUGCGCCCAGGAUUCCAAAUGGCGAAACCCCAGGCCCCGGCAGCAGAGUGCACAAACUUAACCACUCGGCCACGGGGCUGGCCCUGGCAAACGUAUGUUACACAGAGGUGAUGCUCUGAAGAAUAAAUGCAUUUAUUCUCUAUUUGAAUGUAUUAUACAAGAUGAAUCAGACUGCUGGAGCCUGCUCACUUUUAACCACAUAUCUUUUCCUUGUUUAACAAAUGUUUUGAAUCUCCUACUGUGUUAUAGACCUUACGCUAGAUAUUGAAGAUAUAAUGACAAGUGAAAUCAACAUAGUUGGCCUCAGCAACUGCUUUUUAUAUGCUGCAUUAAAUAAAGCCUAAUUAAAAAGAACAUAUAUAUAUAUGUUUUUUUCCUCCAGGGAAUAUUGACAAAUAGAUUGCUUAAUUUUUUUGUCCUCAAUCCUGGGUGACUAUUCAAAAUAACGUAGCAAAAGUAAUUUAAUCUGUUUUGAAAAAACAAUUAUUUUGAUAGAAAACUCUAGAGCCAACCCUAAAUCAGAUGGUCCAUCUGUCUGGCAAGUGGAGUGGAAACCACAUUGGCUAAUAGUGUAGGGCUUCCCUGAGUCCCUCACCCAGGGCAAGAGAAAUUUUCCCAAGACUGGUUGGACCCCUCGUAGUUUUGGUGCCAUAAAAACAUCAGGUAAGAGAGACCUUUAACCACAGGUAUAGUCUACAGAGACAUUACUCUGUAGUAAUCUGAGUAGAAUUAAUGACUCCCAGACGGUGUUAUUUGGAACUGACUUAUCCUAGGUUUGUUUUCAUGUUUUUCAUAUCUCUACAAAAGACCCUAUUGACUCAAUAAAUAGAAAGCAUCAUAGUCACAUAUAAGGAGACCCAGUUUAGGUUUUAGGGGACUUCAAACUCAAGCCAAGUGUCAAUGAAACAUAAAACAUUUGGUAGAUUAUGGAACUAGGUUCAGCAGAAAAAUAUACCAUGUUCUGGCUUCAGUUCUGUGCCAGGAAAGUGGGUGAUACCCAAAUUAGGAUGCCUCUUGACCCCAAACUGGAGGUCACAACCAGAGAAAAGUGCUCCACAUCUUCCUGAUUAUUCCAUUCAGAGCAUCCAGAUAAGGCACAAGAAUGAUCCUGCCCUCCCCGCCAUAGCCCACUAUUGCUUAAUCUUCUACAGCCCUACUUGGAAGCUUACAUUCCCCACUCUUCAUCUCUUUCUCUCACUCCCGAUUCACCCCUGUAAUUCUCCCUUCCACCAUUUCGCAGGAGAUGGUUGAAUCGGUCUUUUUGCUUUAUCUCAUAUGCUUUAAUUAUAAUCCCCAAAGUAGGAAAUGGAAAAUAUUGGCACACAACUCACCAUCAGACCAAAAAAGCAGUGUUUCUUCAAAUGCAGUGAAUAGAGUAGCAUGUAAUCUAUUGUCAAUUAACUAUGAAUGUGCUCGUCCUAGCACUUUUAAAAAAGAAUCCUUCAAGAAAACUGAGAAAUACAUUUUUAAUGAAGCCACCUGUUCCUUCAGGCCUUGAGAACUUUAACAAGCAUCGGUCCAUGAAAAUAGUUACUGUAAGCAUGUAUAAUAAAUUAAAUAUGAAUUUUAAAUUAUUCAUUGAAUCUUCCUAAGGAUUGAGAUGCCACAGGGAAAAUGAAAAUGCAAUGUUAAUAAGCAAUCAGUAGUGAUUUUAGAAAGGAAGGGAAAAAAGAAGGGUCCCUCUAAAUUUUGCCUUUGCUGAAGAAAGAGCUAAAGGGAUAGCUUCAAAUUAGUAGUACCAAUUAACGUAAACUUGUAAUGCAAGGCUAUACUUCAUUUUAUGUAUUGGUGCAAUUUUAUUGGUUUAUAUUGUUACAUGUUUAAUCGUGGACUGGACCUGGGGGAGGAAAUAAUAAUACAAAUGAGAGAUGUUGUGUAUCAGUUGCUUUGAUUGGACUUUUUCAUAAAUUAUCCCCAGUUGUAAAGGAAGCAACUGAAGACAGAGAGAGUAAAUAACUUGGCCGUGGUUGUUGAGCUGGGAUUUGAACACUGGCUUAUGUGAGGCUAAAGCUUGUGUUUCCCCACCACGCUGUUCUAGCCAAACUUCAUUGUCUCCUGAAGGCGGACUAAUGAAGGGAAGUAGCGGAGGGCUCUGGAGUCAGAGUUCUUGGUUCAAAUACCAGCUCUUCCUCCUAUGAGCUCUGUGACCUUGGAUAGUUUCUGCCUAUAUAAAAUAGAGAUAAUAAUGUGAGGGUUCAGUGGGAUAUGUAUACAAAGCAAUGAACCCAAUGCCUGCUGUGCAGAAAGAGUUUGCUAUGUGGUAUAGUUAUUGUUGUUGCUAUUAUCAUUAUUGUUACUGAAAGUUAAAAAAAAAAGGAGAAGGAAAUGAUGGAGCUGCCUUAGAUGGCAAAUAGCUCUGAAGCAGUGUCAUAGGUUCUUACUGGAUCUGGGAGAACAGCAGAUUACUCACUCUUUUGAGUUGUCAAGCCUGGGUGAUCCCAGCCUGUUUCACUCAUGGCCUGCUGACCAAAGUCCCUAAUGCAUCCGACUAAAUGAUAACCCCCAUCCUGCACCUUCUGGUGACAAUGCAGGAGAUCUCUCAGCUUUCUUUGGGUAGUGUCACAGUAGGUUCACAGUCAAUACAUUUUUUUUCCUUGAGCUAAACUCAGUAGGGAAAUCUCUGAUAGCUUUCUUCUUCUUCUUCUUUUUUUUUUUUUGCUGAGGAAGAUUAGCCCUGAGUUAACAUCUGUGCCAAUCUUCCUCCACUUUACAUGUGGGUCACCACCACAGCAUGGCUUACAAGUGGUGUAGGUCCAUGUCUGGGAUCCAAACCCAUGAACCUGGGCCACCAAAGUGGAGUAUGCCAAACUUAACCACUAUGCCACUGGGCUGGCCCCAUGGUUUCUUCUUUUUGAAACAUCUCUUUCACACUUUAGAUUCUAGGACCUUUUCUCUUCCAAGAAAGCCAGGUUUGAUGUUCCUAGCUACAACUGAAGAACAACAGCUUUACCCUUCUCUGGCUUUUGAAAUUCCUUUCUGAUGGGAGGAUAGUGUGAUGGGUUGAAUUGCGUCCCUCUAAAAUUCCUAUGUUAAAGUCCUAACCCUCAGUACCUCAGAAAGUGACUGUAUUUGAGGACGGAGCCUUUAAAGAGAUAAUUAAGGUAAAAUGAGGUGGUAUGAGUGAACCCUAAUGCAAUAUGACUGAUGUCCUUAUAAGAAGAGGAGAUUAGGACAGAGGGACAAACAUGUGAGGACAUAGCAAGAAGAAGAGAGGUCUCAGAAGCAAACAAAUCUACUGACACCUUGGUCUUGGACUUCCAGCCUCCAGAACUGUGAGAAAACUAAUUUCUGUUGUUUAAGCACCCAGUCUGUGGAGUUUUGUAAUGGCAGCCCUAGCAGACUCCUACAUGUAGAAUGGUCCUCAGAUGGUCUUGAAACAGGAGAUACUGUGCUCAAGGUGCUCUCUGGAGAAGCCUGAGUCAGAGAAAGAGCCCUCAUUACUAAACCACUUAGGGUCUCAUGUUUGUAAGGGUCAGUAGAGGGACAAGAGCACUGGCAACUUUGAAGUCACCCUCUCUAGAGAGUCUUCCGUCUUAAAUAUCUUUCUCCAGAGGUCUGAAAUGAUGUCAUCAGCAGUUCAUAUGGAGGUCUUGAAGCCUUUUUUUAGUGUUCAACAUCUCAUGGUAAAAUAAGAAUAUACCAGAUGACUGGGAUGCCGUUGAUAGACUGUGGAUGCCGGACGUGGGUUUUGGGAAGGAUUCCAGCAAAGGAGCAGUGAAGGAGAGGAUGGAAAGGCAGAGAUCAUCAGGUCCUUCCCUCUCAGCUCUGCCCAGGGCCAGCCUCGAAACGCCUUGCACCGGGCUUACAGGAAGAAGGGUGGAGUUUUGCUUCUUCUUUGGUGGUGCCUCCUUCCCAAACGUGAGGCUCUCCAUGGGCACAGGGCUGUGGUGAUUGCUUCAUGGUGCAAUGGUUGAGACAGCUGUCCUUCAAGACCCUUCUUUUGGCCUUUUAGUUGCUGCAACAUUUUGAUCAGAAAUUUCUGCUUUAAGUGUAAAGGAUGUGGUGCAAUUGGGGAAGGAAGUGUGGAGAACAAUCAAAACAAAACACCCCGGCCAUAGUUCAGUAAAAUAGAACACAUUCCUGCCCCCUGCCCUCCACCAGAGUGUUUAACUUUUCCUCUUUUUUUCUUAGCUCUGACGCUAGUGUGGUGUAGAUUAUAACUCUGGUAUUUUUGUUUGUCAUCAUUUUCCUUGAACAUGAAUACAAAGAAGACUUCAACAGCAGUAGAGUAAACUGAGUAGCCUGUAGCAAUGCUUUUGUAUUUGAAGUCAGAUUAAAUUUGUCCUCCAAAAAGGUUUCUGCUCCUUCUCCCUCUCCCUCUGCUUCCUUCCCUGGACUCCUGCCCCCAGCACUGCAGCCUGUCCCCACACCUCCAGGAUGUUAGCAGUUUUUAGGGAACAAGAUUUGCUCCCUUCUUUUCAUGAGAUUGUUGAAGACUGAAAAAAACCCUUAAGACUCCUCAAAAUGAAUUUCUGACCAGUGGGGCAGAUUUUAUGAGGCAGGAGACCCUCCCACAGUUUCCAGUAGGUCAGUCUCUAUAAUGAAUGAGAGUUCUGCAUGUGAAUGAAGUAGAGGAUGCUGAGGGAAGAAUCAGGAUGAUUCCAUAUGGACAAAUGGAAAUAGAGAUAGACUCCUGGAAAAAUAAGAAAUAGGCAUCACACUUUAUUCUGGGUCAAAUAGAAUAUUACAUAUUCUAGGAAAGAAAUGAUCUAGCUAAUUAUUUUUAAACCAUUUCACUUACAAAGUUCCAUUUUAUCUGAGUGAUAGUCAUUUCUUUUUUUCUCUUUCUAAGUGUGGAAGCGGAAUGUAUAUCAAUGUAUGGCCCCUAGCAGGAGAGUGGUCACAUGGGAGGGUGUGAAAAAUGCCUAUUCUGGCUGCAGUGUGUGUGCUCGUGGGUGGGAGAGAAAUAACCAUUAACGAUGUGGAGGAAAACAAAUACCUUGACUAAAUUUCGUGUCAUUCUUUGUGAUGUUGCAAUUCUCUUUAAAUAAAUAACUAGAACACUUCCCAAAAGAAACUGAAUGUACGUUGUGAAGGAUAAUUAAGACUGUAGAUCAAACGCAAAAACGACACUUUGGAAGAAAAUAUUUUUAGAAUUUGCACCACGCUCCUUUCAAUCUCUGGCCCAAAUGACAAAGAUGAUUUUGUAAAUGCGUUCAUGUGGGCCUAACAACUUGUUGGAAAGCCUGCCUGAGUUGGAUGGAUAUAAUAACAGAACUGCAAAUUAUACCCUUACACAAGAAUACAAAGCAGCCACACCUGUGGCUUCAUGGAGUAUUUGCUUCGUUCGGGAAAGGGGGAGGAAGCUUGAGUCUGGUUUACAGAUGUCUCUGCUGACACCAGUUGGACAUGGACCACUGAGGUCCCAGCAGAGCCAUAUUCCCUGUGGUUGGAGGAUAAGGGAGAUCCUCCCAGUGGACAGCACUUUGAACAGUCCACCUUGUGGUCCAUUUUGCCUGGAAGGAGAGAAGACCUGAGGACUGACAGCAAGGAGGUUUGGGAAGAGUCAGCAUUUUACAAAUUGUUGAUGCUCAAUUACUAUCUAUUGACUCGAUUUUAAUGAGUGUUAUGGAGAUGUUUUCUGCUAUAGUUGAUCUGAAAUAAAAGUCAUAGUCAAGAUCAUUUGAAGGCUUUCAGAUUACAGCCCACCUCCAUCAAGGAAACGUCGCUUACCAUACAGACGACCUUACUGUUUAUACGUCAGAGUCUUAACGUUUUUAACAUUUCAGAAGACUAAUACCGACCAAUUUCCAUGCGGAAAUAUCCAGCAAGAUCAAACGGGGGUAGGAAAACAAAAGCUAAUUUCAUUCAGAAGAUUCUGUCUUCUCUCAGCCUUGGUGGUUAUUUCCUGCUUGAGUCACUUCCCCUGAGAGGGUGACACUGGACAGCAGCCUCGAAAGCCGCAUUAUUCACAAUAGCCAAGAUGUGGAAGCAACCCAGGUGCCCACCAACUGAUGAAUGGAGAAAGAAGAUGUGGUAUAUAUAUACAAUGGAAUACUACUCAGAGAAGACAAAGUCACCCCAUUUGCAACAUAAUGAAUGGAACUUGAGGGCCUUAUAUUAAGCAAAAUAAACCAGACCAAGAAAGACAAACACCAUAUGAUUUCACUCAUGUGUGGAAGAUAAACAGUGGGGUUGGGUCUUCAUCUUAUUAUGAAUGACCAACGCUUUUAUUUGACAAAUCUAAUUGUUAGACAUAUCUCCUUUUUAUUGUGGUAGAAUCUGAUUAAAAUCUUUUAGUUUUAGCUAUUGAUCUCUGGAGCAAGGCCAGGUAAGAUAAUAUGUGUGGUUGUGGAAUGGAGAAACUUCCUUAUUAUGGCAUCGCAGAGGGAAGAGGCAAAUUCUGGAGGCCCAGUCAAGCUGGUAGGCAUGUUACCUGGAAAGGAAUGUAAGAAAACAUCAUGCAGAAGACAGUGUGAUCAGAGGCAGAGACGGUGUUGGGAGAGGCUAUCUAGAAGCUCAAGGUGAGCCUAUAAUGGUCAAGAAGACCCUCGUGUGAUAAAGACCUUGAAGACUGAGAGUUCAACAUCAGGUGUGAAAUGGCUCUGCGCCACAUGGAGAAAGAGCAAAAUGUCACUUCCGAGGUUUGUGACAAAAUUUCGUGAUAGAUUCUUCGGGUGGAGUGAGAGGCCUUUCUCACUGCUGUGACACUGCUGCUGAGGUGGAAAAGCUGAAGAGCAGAUUAUUCAGUUUCUACACUGAGCCCUGCUCGACAUGAUGCUAAAACAUGGUGUUUUUUGGACCCAGGUUUUCACUGAUAACAAAAAGGAAGGUCAGUAGCAGUGCACCUCCAUUUGAAUCUUUGGACUCCCUGCACCAACUUCUCUCUAGAUUAAGACCAGGAAGCUGGUUUACAGCCAUCAUAAUCUGCAAAGAGGUCUCUGCCAGGGCAGCAAGCAUCCAUUUCUUUCUUCCAGUACAUCAGACAGUGGACGGGAAAAGAUGAGCUUUCAAAGGGUCAGUUUUCUUCUACCAUUACAAAGUUUAGUGCCUUAAAAAAAAAAAUCAACAGAACUGGGAAAUCUCACUUUGGGAGACAGCCUGGCCCUUCUUCAUAACCCGUUCCUCCAAGCAAACUUGAUUUGCUUAUUAAAAUAGGCAUGAAGAAGCUCUUCCGUGAAGCUUCCUUUUCCACCUGAUGUGUACGAAGGUUUCAAGAACUUGGCUGCACUCCCCCAGCAGGUGCAGAGGAUCCAGUGACCAGAGUGCCCUAAAGGAACUCGAUAGCUUCUGACCAAAUGCCAGAUGGGUUUCUGGAUAAGAGAUCUCAACCAUCAGCCUCCUUCAAGCCCUCUAGGCUUUGAAUCUGGUGUCUGUCCUUGUUGGACCUGUAUCUCCCAGUUGUAGCAAGAAUGUCGCUAAGUCGGUUAAGGGAGAACUCCCUACCCUUGAUAUCUGAUCAUCCUCAAUACCUGAGAAGAUUCCUCAUCCCCCCGCAUCCCUGAGGUGCUAUCUGAUCACCCUGGCCUGCCUGCAGCAAGAACUCUGUCGAGUCAGUUUAGACAGAAAUCCCCACCCUACCUCUGUGAAAAAUGGUCAACUCUUAAGACUGCUUCUGAAUCCUUCGGUAGUGAUGAAUGUGGGACACCUUUCGAGAUGGGGGAGUUCAGAUCUUGCACAGAAAGCUUCUUUGUCCCUCCAAGGACUUUGAAGACAUCACCCACCCCUACAGUGGUUUGGAAUGUGGAGAGAGGAUUUUGGUUCUCACCAUUGACCAGGAGUUGUUCUUGGCUUUUGGUGGUAAUGUGCAGGAUGUUCCCACACCACGAGUAAUUGUCCGGCCUCAAAUCCCAACGGUCCCUUCACGUAGGAAACGUUCCCCACUCCUCUCCCGGGUCCUGCCUCUGGUUUAGGUUGUAGACUCUGGGAGAGAAGGGGUGUGGUGGGCUCUCUUCACUGCCCUGACGGAAGGGCACCUAGAAGAGCGCCUUCCAUGCAGUGAGUGCUCAGUAAACAUUUGUUGAGGAAAUGCCGCUUAUAAAGACAGUGAUUGAUUGGUGGACAAUAAGAUACAUAAAAUAAAAACCUACUGACCCAAGUUCAAUUUCCCUGGGCCUUCAAUUGAAUUGCCUGGCAUUGGGAUCCUGGGGAGACUUGCUUUUCAAGUCAAGUCUCUGUUCAAUCUUUGUGCAUGUCAGCUUUGGGGUAUCAUUUUUGGGAGUAGUUGCCCUGUGUGCUCCAGUUUACUGUGAUUAUAGGAUGCGAACAUAAUCUCAGAGGGUUCUGAGGAAUCCUGGGUUUAAUUUUAUUUGCAUAUUUGUUUUUAGAGGAAGUUAAAAGACAUACUUUUCUGGUAACAUUUUAACACCAAAUUUAUAAAGAUACUUACUGGAAAAUAUGGUUCCCUAGAUUUCCUGGAAACGUUUGGAAAUCUUAUAAUUAAGCUCUUGAGUCGUGUAGUCUGUUUUCUCUGUAAAGUGUGAUAUUCAACGUUAAAAGGGGUAAAAACAGGUUGUGAGGCUCUGGGUGGAUGUAACUGUCUCUUACAGGAACUUUCCAAAAAGCAAAUUGGCUGUACAAAUGGGACUGUGUUUCCUAAAAUAC
rnacentral:lncRNA from 1 species